CAUUUGUAAUUUCUCUAUAAACUAACCCUCUAAGUUAUCUUUAAAUUUUAACACCUACUAUUAGAGCUACUAUUAUAACUGGGAGUAUUUAUUUUUAAAACAAGAUUUAAAGAACUGCAACCAAAAUGGGUCACAUGAUUAUAUUAAAAAAAUAAAUAUUCAGAAAACACCAAAUGACAAAAUUUAAACUAAACUCUCAAUAUUUUUGCAAAUCUUUCAUACUCUUUCUUGUACCGAAAAUUCAACAAGAACUAACUUAAAAUAAACACAAACGGAUUCAUAGAACAAAUAAUUUCAUGAAAGUUAGGUUGAAUCCAGAACUUGGAACUCAAUGCAAGAAGAAUUACCCACCUAAGGCGAAUCUUCGAUUCAUCUCCACCAACCAAAAUCCUGAACUGCUAAACCCUAACCCUAAAAUGCAUGAGCUCGUUGCUAAUAAAAGCAAAUUCAAAACACAUUCUCAUGUCUGAGUCAUAUCUUCGCAAGAGUUUCAAAGAACCGGUGAUUAUCAUGAAGAUUAUUAGGUUUCAGUGAAAUGGGUCGACACUUUUGCAGCCGUUUGUUUGGAUUCACGCACCUGCAUGCAAGCUUCGAGUGGAAGAAUGCCCAUUUGUUUAUGUUUUUUUCCCUUUUGCUUCCAACUACUCUCGUUGUUUGUUGGGUUGGUUUAUUUUGGGUCCCUUCUGAUGGUGGCACUACUUUUGCUCUGAUCGACUGCAAAGUCAAUUGAAAAGGGGGGCUCUUCCCUGCAGCAUGAACUUAGCACUAUGGGUUUUUUCCUUUUGCGAAGAAUGUGAACCGCCCGAAUUAGUUAUAAAACUGUGCUUUAAAAGAUUGCACAAGUAGAAUCAUAUUUGUGAUGAUGCCGUGUUGAAGGCAAUGAGAGGAUGGUUCACUACCCAUGUGGUAGAUUGCUUAACAAAACACUUGCUUGACCAUCAGAUUGUGUUUUAUGCAAAGCUUAAGGAAGAAGAAUCAGUGGAAAUAGUAAAAGGUUGCGGUACAAGUGCAGCGAGUGGCAGGCAAAUUGUUUUUUCUUGCAGAAAGCUCUGGCAUGGCGGUCAGGCUCUGGAUAUGCAGCAGCAGGGGAUGCAGCACAAAUGUGCCCUAGGAAGACCCACAAAAAGCAAGCCCCUCCAAAAGGAUCAGUGAUUCAAAACGCUGCACCAUGAAGACGAAGAAGAAGAUCGGUCGUGGAUCUGCCAAUCUUCCCGAAAAACGUGUUGGCAUUGUCCGCACUUGCAUUGUGACUGGUCUCUGUAACAUGCGACCGUCCCUGAAUUAACUAAAAAAAAAUCGCGGCGUUGAUCUAAUACUUGUGUGGAGGCCGCCGUAUUCAAUCACCCGGGGGACGAAGGUAGUGAAAAAGCUUGGAGGAGUGAAAUGGGGGAGAAAAAGAAGAAGAAGAAACAUUCAACUUCUACAUUACAGGUUGAUAUUUGAGGUUUUUUCUGAGUUUGAUUGGGACAGA